CUUACACAUGCAGUCGAGCGGAGUGAUGGUGCUUGCACUAUCACUUAGCGGCGGACGGGUGAGUAAUGCUUAGGAAUCUGCCUAUUAGUGGGGGACAACAUUUCGAAAGGAAUGCUAAUACCGCAUACGCCCUACGGGGGAAAGCAGGGGACCUUCGGGCCUUGCGCUAAUAGAUGAGCCUAAGUCAGAUUAGCUAGUUGGUGGGGUAAAGGCCUACCAAGGCGACGAUCCGUAGCGGGUCUGAGAGGAUGAUCCGCCACACUGGGACUGAGACACGGCCCAGACUCCUACGGGAGGCAGCAGUGGGGAAUAUUGGACAAUGGGGGAAACCCUGAUCCAGCCAUGCCGCGUGUGUGAAGAAGGCCUUUUGGUUGUAAAGCACUUUAAGCGAGGAGGAGGCUACUUAGAUUAAUACUCUAGGAUAGUGGACGUUACUCGCAGAAUAAGCACCGGCUAACUCUGUGCCAGCAGCCGCGGUAAUACAGAGGGUGCGAGCGUUAAUCGGAUUUACUGGGCGUAAAGCGUGCGUAGGUGGUCUUUUAAGUCGGAUGUGAAAUCCCUGAGCUUAACUUAGGAAUUGCAUUCGAUACUGGGAGACUAGAGUAUGGGAGAGGAUGGUAGAAUUCCAGGUGUAGCGGUGAAAUGCGUAGAGAUCUGGAGGAAUACCGAUGGCGAACGCAGCCAUCUGGCCUAAUACUGACACUGAGGCACGAAGCAUGGGGAGCAAACAGGAUUAGAUACCCUGGUUAGUCCUCGCCGUA
rnacentral:rRNA from 1 species